AUUGAACGCUGGCGGCAUGCUUUACACAUGCAAGUCGAACGGCAGCGCGGGCUUCGGCCUGGCGGCGAGUGGCGAACGGGUGAGUAAUGCAUCGGAACGUGCCCAGUAGUGGGGGAUAGCCCGGCGAAAGCCGAAUUAAUACCGCAUACGACCUGAGGGUGAAAGCGGGGGACCGAAAGGCCUCGCGCUAUUGGAGCGGCCGAUGUCGGAUUAGCUAGUUGGUGGGGUAAAGGCUUACCAAGGCGACGAUCCGUAGCUGGUCUGAGAGGACGACCAGCCACACUGGGACUGAGACACGGCCCAGACUCCUACGGGAGGCAGCAGUGGGGAAUUUUGGACAAUGGGGGCAACCCUGAUCCAGCCAUGCCGCGUGCGGGAAGAAGGCCUUCGGGUUGUAAACCGCUUUUGUUCGGGAAGAAAUCCUCUGGGCUAAUACCCCGGGGGGAUGACGGUACCGGAAGAAUAAGCACCGGCUAACUACGUG
rnacentral:rRNA from 1 species